rnacentral:rRNA from 1 species
AUUGAACGCUGGCGGCAUGCUUUACACAUGCAAGUCGAACGGUAACAGGCCUUCGGGCGCUGACGAGUGGCGAACGGGUGAGUAAUGCAUCGGAACGUGCCCAGUCGUGGGGGAUAACUAUCCGAAAGGAUAGCUAAUACCGCAUACGAUCUGCGGAUGAAAGCGGGGGACCUUCGGGCCUCGCGCGAUUGGAGCGGCCGAUGUCAGAUUGGGUAGUUGGGGGGGUAAAGGCUCACCAAGCCGACGAUCUGUAGCUGGUCUGAGAGGACGACCAGCCACACUGGAACUGAGACACGGCCCAGACUCCUACGGGAGGCAGCAGUGGGGAAUUUUGGACAAUGGGCGCAAGCCUGAUCCAGCAAUGCCGCGUGCAGGAAGAAGGCCUUCGGGUUGUAAACUGCUUUUGUACGGAACGAAACGGCCCUGGUUAAUACCUGGGCUAAUGACGGUACCGUAAGAAUAAGCACCGGCUAACUACGUGCCAGCAGCCGCGGUAACAC